rnacentral:rRNA from 1 species
AUUAAACGCUGGCGGCAUGCCUUACACAUGCAAGUCGAACGGCAGCACGGGGGCAACCCUGGUGGCGAGUGGCGAACGGGUGAGUAAAGCAUCGGAACGUGCCCUGGAGUGGGGGAUAACGUAGCGAAAGUUACGCUAAUACCGCAUAUUCUGUGAGCAGGAAAGCAGGGGAUCGCAAGACCUUGCGCUUUGGGAGCGGCCGAUGUCGGAUUAGCUAGUUGGUGGGGUAAAGGCCUACCAAGGCGACGAUCCGUAGCGGGUCUGAGAGGAUGAUCCGCCACACUGGGACUGAGACACGGCCCAGACUCCUACGGGAGGCAGCAGUGGGGAAUUUUGGACAAUGGGCGCAAGCCUGAUCCAGCCAUGCCGCGUGAGUGAAGAAGGCCUCGG